rnacentral:lncRNA from 1 species
CCAGAAAUUUUCUUUUACAUCAUGUGAAGUACAUAUGAUUUCUACGAAUGAUUCAGUAGGAGCAUUUCUACAGUUCCAGACAUGCAAUUUCUGCUUUAAACAUCUGCUAGUAAAGUAUUUGAAUACUUGAAGUUCAAAAGGUCAAUUCCACAGCUAUAUAAAGGCAGAAACAGCUGGAAAUAGAUGUCUUCAAUUUUAUUGAAAAGGUAUUAGCAUAUGAAAGUGGUGAAUAAUCUUGACUUCCUGAUGUGGAAUACAACUGGUGAAAUUCAAACCUACUUGUGAAAUUCAAGAACUGUUUCACAGAUCAAUCACCAGUAAUGGCCUGUGCAUGUGCAACCUGUUACUUAAACAAAGACCGUGCCUGCAGUUGAAAAUAUCCUGGCUUCAAUAGGAAGACCUUUGAUUCUUUAUCAAGUACUCAGUUGUAUCUUCUUAAGAAACAUUCUCUUCACUUUUAAGAUCUUUCUAUUCCUGAUUCGAGGUAAAUUUGUUUUCUUUGUUUCUCUUUGUUUUUUAAUCUGGAUACUUGUUCACACUCCAUAGAGAUUAUCAACAUUAUUUCUCUUAUGAAAUAUAGAUAUAUGAGUUAUAUUAUUAUACUUUUUAAUAAAAACCAUUUUUCAUAAUUUUAAUAAAGUUUAAUGUAGUUUCUUUGGUCACAACUUACUAUAUAUUAUGGGUAUAAAUUGACCUUAAUUUACUGCUGAUGUUCUUUAUCUUUACAUUCAGAUAUGUUUACAAAAUAAAAUAAUGAGAUCGGUCACUUUUUAAUUUGUAAUACUUGACAUUUAAUUUCACAAUUUUUUUUUUUUCUUUUUUGAGACAGAGUCGCUCUCUGUCACCCAGGCUGGAGUGCAAUGGCAUGAUCUCAGCUCAUUGCAACCUCCACCUCCCGGGUUUAAGGGAUUCUCCUGCCUCAACCUCCCUAGUAGGGGGGAUUACAGGCGCCAGUCACCCUGCCCGGCUUUCACAAUUUUAUUAGUAUGAGUAAAAUGUUCAUUUUUUAUCCUAUGCAAUAAUGUAUAUAUAUAUGACAUAGAAAUUGUGUAUUUCUUUAAAGUUUUAGAUACCUUAACUGUUGGAAUUGUUGAAUUUUACGACUUCUAUUUAAUAUUUUAAUAAUUACUAUCCUAGAAAAUAUUUCAGAGAGCUUAUUUUAGGCUAGAGAUAUUUAUUUUUGCUUAGAGUAUAUCUUGAACUAUUAAAAUUAGAUUCUUAAUUUUCUAUUUUGUAUAUCCUGCAUAUGUUUGUGUAUAAUUAUUUUACCCAAAAGUGAAC